rnacentral:tRNA from 1 species
GAGAAUGGAGUUCAAUGCUAGAGCAUAUGCUUGGCAAGCACAAGGCACUGGGUUUGAUUCCCAGCAAAUACU